GCAAGUCGAGCGCACCUUCGGGUGAGCGGCGGACGGGUUAGUAACGCGUGGGAACAUACCCUUCUCUAAGGAAUAGCCACUGGAAACGGUGAGUAAUACCUUAUACGCCCUUCGGGGGAAAGAUUUAUCGGAGAAGGAGUGGCCCGCGUUAGAUUAGGUAGUGGGUGGGGUAAUGGCCAACCAAGCCUACGAUCUAUAGCUGGUUUGAGAGGAUGAGC
rnacentral:rRNA from 1 species